rfam:Oryza punctata chromosome 10, whole genome shotgun sequence.
AAAGAGUGUAGUUUUGUUAUAUUUAUGUCCAACAUUUAAACGUUUGUCUUAUUUGAAAUUUUUUUAUGAUUAAUAUUUUUAUUGUUAUUGGAAACAUGAAUAGUACUUUAUGUGUGACUAAUUUUUUUUAAUUUUUUCAUAAAUUUUUCAAAUAAAACGGACGGUCAAACGUUGGACACGGAUAUCCACAGGUGCACUUGAU